rnacentral:rRNA from 1 species
UACGAAGGGGGCUAGCGUUGUUCGGAUUUACUGGGCGUAAAGCGCACGUAGGCGGUUUGUACAGUCAGACGUGAAAUUCCUGGGCUCAACCUGGGGGCUGCGUUUGAUACGUAUGGACUUGAGUUCGGAAGAGGGUCGUGGAAUUCCCAGUGUAGAGGUGAAAUUCGUAGAUAUUGGGAAGAACACCGGUGGCGAAGGCGGCGACCUGGUCCGAUACUGACGCUGAGGCGCGAAAGCGUGGGGAGCAAACAGG